CCCUAGUAUAAAUACUUAUUUAAUUAGUAUAAAUGAAAUUUAAUAAUUUUGGCGGUUGAUUAUUAUUUAGAGGAGCUUGUAUUUGCAGAAUUUACUCUUUAUAUUUUAUUAAUAAUUUAAUUUAUUCAUCUCCGUUAUUAAUCUUUAAAAAAAAAGAUUAGAAAAUCAUGUUAUUUAGGAUUUCAGGUCAAGAUGUAAUUUUAUUAAAAGAUAUUAGCUACAUUUAUGAAAUUAAUGAAUAAUAUGAAAGAUAAAGGUAAGAAUUAUAAGAAAUUGAAUUUAGAUGUAAUAGUAAUUAAAAUGUUAUUGUGAAUAGGUUUAAUUAAUGUAUAUAUUGCCCGUCACUUCUAUUANAA
rnacentral:rRNA from 1 species